CUUUUCUCUCACCUCUCCAUCCUGAAAAUCACUAUUAAAGACCUGGCUGUUACUUUAUUCCAUAUUCAUAUUAUCAUGUACAAAUUUUUGUGUAAGAAGAUGUUAAAUGGGAUUGGUCCUGUACUCAGAGUGGGCUGAAACCCUAAACAGAAAUGAUGAAUGAUAAGUGUCAAAACAUUCUAACCAUUUUUAGAGAGAGGCCCCAGACACAGUUUCACAUGACUUAUUAAAAGGUGAACAAAAUUGGGCCUAUGAAUCUUAGUCACCCCCCAACUUGAGCCUAUAUGUGAAUAUUUAUUUAUAUGAAGAGUGUUGGUUGGCCUGAGAGUGAGCCAGCAUUUCCUCUUCCUAAUAUAGCAGGGGAUGCUAUCUUCCCAGGUACCAACCCAAAUGCAAGAGUAGAGAGUGAGGAAGGCAGUAAUAAAGUCCUUUGAGAAGAUUAAAGGAGGCUUGCAAAAGAAGAUUCUGCCGUGUUAUUUUCUGACUGGAUGCUUGUUGACCUAAGGAAACUAACUCAUCAGCCCAGCCAGCACCACAUCCACUUCUAUUACAAAAGAAUUCUGAGAAUAUGAUAUAGUCCUACAGGAGUUUGGGGAAUACGCCAUAAAAUCAGAGGCUGCUAGAAUUCCCCUAACAUCAGAAUAAGAAGAGAAGAUUGCGAUGGGAGUAAAGUACACUUCCACAGAUGUGGGGCAAGAGGGCAAGUUUUCCGUAAGUCAAGUGAUACCAUAGAUGUAAGUAGGCUGAAGCUGCCUUAAAAGAAUCCUCUUUUAGGGUACCUGGCAGAAGGAAACGACCCCAAAUAUAAGUCCUUUGAAAAGGAGGUAAGUGAAAAAUUUAAAAGGAGAACCCAAAAGUGCAUCACUCAUAUUAGGAAAAGGUGGACUAUAAAAGGCCACUGCACCAAGGUGCCUGGGGUAGGGGUGCCAACGAAGAAUCUACAAAUGCAUUCUCAAGAGGAGCUAGCAGCAGUUGAAUGUCUGCCAUAACAGACAGCAUAUAAGAGCCAAGAAAAAACUCCAGACAGCAUCAGAUUUUGCCUGGUUGCCUCUUAUUUAUUUUCCCUGCUCUGACACUGGAAGAAUCAAAAGCAGCAAGAAAGUGAGGAAGGCAAGCAAGAACAAGAUAGAAAAACAGUGAAAGAAACUACAUCACUACUCACCCCGUCCCUUCUCAUCUUCCUUACUGCCGCUUUGCAGAAGCAAGAAUCCAGCCUGAGCUAGAGUCUCUUGCCAGCGACUUCUGAUGUCCCAGCAAAUGGCAUUGUCCCCAGCAGUGCUGAAAAGAUACUCCCGAGGGCCCAGCAGUGAUAUAUCCAACUAACGCAGACUUGCUUGCACUCUGCUGGGUGAACAGGAGUGAUGCCUCCAGGCAAGUGGUAUGCUGUCCAUCCAGCCCAGGCCAAGGCUUCAAGGGAGCGAGGACGCCUUCAGAUGGUAAAGAAGGAAGAAGAGGAUGAAAGCUACACUUCAGUGCCAGCUGCCAGACCACAGACACUCAAUCGUCCUGGCCAAGAGCUGUUCCGCCAGCUCUUCAGACAGCUUCGCUACCAUGAGUCUUCUGGGCCUCUAGAGACUCUGAGCCGGCUCUGGGAGCUCUGCCGCUGGUGGCUGAGGCCAGAUGUUCUUUCAAAGGCCCAGAUCCUGGAGCUGCUGGUCCUGGAGCAGUUCCUGAGCAUCCUGCCAGGGGAGCUUCGGACCUGGGUGCAGCUGCAUCACCCUGAGAGUGGUGGGGACGUUGUGGCCUUGCUGGAGGAGCUACAGAGGGACUUCGAUGGGACACCAUGGAGGGACCCAGCCCCUGCCCAGAGCCCAGAUGUGCAUUGGAUGGGCACAGGAGCCCUGCGAGCUGCACAGAUAUGGCCCCCUGCUUCACCUAUCAGGAGCGGCUCGGCUCUGGGGGACCACCUGCAGCCUCCCUAUGAAAUAGGAGUGCGUGACUUCCUGGCUGGGCAACCCGAUCCUCCUGCUGCACAGGUUCCUGCCCUUUCCCAGAGAGAGGGAUGCUCAGGAGACCUGGUGACAGUCCAGCCUCAGGAGGCUGUGACUUUCAAGGAUGUGGAGGUGACCUUUUCCCAGGAUGAGUGGGGAUGGCUGGACGCUUCUCAGAGGAACCUGUACAGGGAUGUGAUGCUAGAGAAUUAUGGGAACGUGGCUUCCUUGGUGGGGCCGUUCACCAAACCUGCUCUGAUCUCCUGGUUGGAGGCAAGGGAGCCGUGGGGCUUGAAUGUCCAGGGAGCUCAUCCUAAGGGGAGUCCAAGUGCUGCCCCUGCAGGAGAUGAGCUCCAUGUGAAAACAGACGACAAGUUCAUCUUAAAACAUGAACCUUUAGAAGAAGCUAUGCCAUCAGGAUGUCAUGGUGCAGCAAAUGUUUCUGAGGGAACAGGGCUCAGAGAAUCUUUUGCACAGAAGAGUAGGUUAAAGGAGCAAUGUGGAAACCCCAUACAAGUGAGAGUUAAGAAAGAAGAGACCAAUUCCAGCCACAGGACAGGAAAAGACUGUGAAGAAUCGGGAAGAAGUAAUAGUCUUCAUCUAAAACAUAUUACAUGUUUGAGAGGACCCAGAAGAAAGCAGUCCCUUAAACAUGGCUAUGGCAAACACUUCAGAGGGAGUUCAUACCACUGUGAUUACAAGGAAUAUGGGAAAGGGCUUAGACGCGUGAUUGGCGGGUUUAGCUUACAUCAGAGAAUUCAUGCUGGACUGAAAGGGAAGGCAAAGGAUGUGCACGGGAAGGACUUCAGCCUUAGUUCUCAUCACCAACACGGGCAGAAACUUCACGUGGUGGGGACAUCGUAUAAGUGCAGUGACUGUGGGAGGACUUUCAGUCAUAGCUCCCAUCUUGCAUGUCAUCAGCGACUUCACACUCAAGAGAAGCCGUUUAAAUGUAGGGCCUGUGGGAAAGCCUUCAGGUGGAGCUCGAACCGUGUGCGACAUGAGAAAAUUCACACUGGGUUGAAACCUUAUAAAUGCAGUUUAUGUGACAAAGCUUUCCGACGCAUGUCUGCCUACCGCCUGCACCAAGAAACUCAUGCUAAGCAGAAAUUUCUUGACUCUAAUCAGGAUGAAGAAGCUCUCACUUGUGGCUCAGGAUUUGAUCAUCAUUUGAGAGACCAAAGUGGGGAGAAACUCUUUGACUGCAGCCAGUGUAGGAAAUCCUUCCAUUGUAAGUCAUAUGUUCUUGAACAUCAAAGGAUUCACACCCAGGAGAAACCCUAUAAAUGCACCAAAUGUAGGAAAACAUUUAGGUGGAGGUCAAACUUCACUCGUCACAUGAGAGUGCACCAGGAAGAGAAGGUCUGUGAUCUAGACAAAUGUAGAGAAGACUUUAGGCAAAUCUCCAACUACAGUCAGCCCCAGAGUGCCCCGACUGUGGAGAAAGCUCUUUUGUGUCAGCAGUGUGGGAAGACCUUUAAUCGAAAGAAAGCUCUCAUUGAUCAUCAGAGAAUUCACAUAGGCGAGAAACCAUACCGAUGCAGCGAAUGUGCAGAAGAGUUUCCUCAUAGGUCGGCCUUUAUCGUUCAUAAGAGGCAGCAUGCUGUCGAAAGAAAGCCUGAGGACGUGCCAUCGUUUAGUCAGGACAGAGCAUUCCAGGUUCCUCAGAGCAGUCACACCACAGAGGAACCCUACAAAUGCAGCCAGUGUGGUAAAGCCUUCCGUAAUCACUCAUUCCUCCUUAUCCAUCAGAGAGUUCAUACCAGAGAGAAGCCUUAUAAGUGCAGGGAGUGCGGGAAGUCUUUCAGAUGGAGUUCUAAUCUCUCUCGACAUCAGAGGAUUCACUCUUUGGGAAAACCGUAUGAGUACCAUGAAAGUGAAGAUGCUCCAAAUCUGCAGUCACAAAUCCUCACUGGUGCAAAACCUUUUUGGUGCCAAGAAUGUGGGAAAAGCUUUACACGUAAAAGAAGUCUUUUAGAUCAUAAGGGAAUACACAGUGGAGAGAAGCGCUAUAAAUGUAAUCUGUGUGGGAAAUCUUAUGACAGAAAUUACCGCCUUGUUAAUCAUCAGAGAAUCCACACGAAAGAGAGACCAUUUAAAUGUCAGUGGUGUGGGAAAGAUUUCAUUGGAAGACAUACUCUCUGUAUUCAUCAGAGAAAACACACCAGAGUGGCCCAGUCUGAAUGCAGUGUGGCUGGGUUGUCUUCUCGCCAGGAUACAGGGGUGAUUUUACAGGAAUUAAAACCAAGUGAGGAGAAGCCUCUUGAAGAUUGUGAGAAAACUUGUGAUCAGAACUCCAGACUCACUGGGCUCCAGGACAUACCCACUGGGAGAAAGUGCCACAAAUGUAUCACGUGUGGGAAAACUUUUAACAAGAGCUCACAACUCAUUAGCCACAAGAGAUUUCAUACUCGAGAGAGGCCCUUCAAAUGCAGAGAGUGUGGGAAGACCUUCAGGUGGUCUUCAAAUUUGGCUCGGCAUAUGAAAAACCAUACUAGAGAUUAGCUUGGGGUCUGAUAGUGUGGGGAGGGGGUCCUGGCUACCCUGCUAGAGAACCCCUGAUUGUAGGCAGUGUGGGGCAGACCUUCACAGAGGGCCCAGCCCUUUCUAUUUUGGAAGCUAGUGGCAGAGAACCCUGAAGAUUCAAAAAUGCAGGGCACACACCCCCAUCAUACUGCUGGAAAAUGACAUGCUGGGGAAGAGCAGCGACGUGUUUCAGAAGGAAGCUUGGGCCCCUAGGAGUGGUCUUUGCACAAUGGCCUGGAGCUCCCCCAGGCAGAUCUCCUUCUAUAACUCUAAAGGGAGAGACCAUUGCCCUUGGUUCAACAGAAUGUCCGUGGCAUGGUGGGCUGUAGCUGUUGGGAAGGGGCCAGUUGGAUUCUAAGUUUCCUUCUGAGUUUGGCUUGUGAUGGUGCCUAGUCGGUUUGACCUUAAAAGCACCAGCAGCAGCAAGAACUAGUUUCUCCAAUGCCUCCAGGGGAGUUCUGGCUGUGGCUUCAGUCUUCACAGCUGACUUUGGAUGUUUGCCAUGGGCGUAGAGUUGUCUCAGCUGCGAGUGGAGAACAGGGUACUGGGCUUGAUCACCUGGAGAAUGAAGCUCAACCAGUGCCCCAUCGCCAUCUCCAUCCCACAGGCCUGUAUGGGCAGCAGCGGUUCAUCUGCUAAACAGAAAUGUGCUGAGCAUCUCUCAUAUGCCAGGUACUGUUGUGUGUGCCAGAGACCCAGCAGUGAGUGGAACAAAAAAGUCUGCCAUCUUGGAUCUUUACAGACAAUAAACAAAUGAGAUAUAUAUAGUAUUUUGGAUGAUGAUAUGUGUUGUGAACAAAAUGAAUCAGAGUAGAGUGAGAGGUAAUGCUGGAUUGGGAGGUAGGUUGAGAUUUUAAAUGGGCUGGUCAGAGAGGGCCUCAACUGAGAAGGUGAGAUUUGAAUAAAGACCCAAAGGAGAUCAUGGAGGAAGCCCUAUAGGUCCCUAGAUGCUACAUAGGACCCUUCACAGGAGGUAGGGUCUUGUCUGGUCUUCUAGGGGAUGGCAAGUAGGCCCCUGAGCCAGAGUGGAGUGAGCCAGCUGGAAGUGAGGAACCCAGAAAGGUGGAGGGCCAAGGCGUAUGAGCAUCGUGGGUACUCACUGGGGCUUGGCUACCUCAAAGGGAGGCAGGGGGCUUUUGGACAGUCUUGAGUUGAGGAUUAUUGUGGUCUGAAUCUGGACCCUUAUAGAAUGUAAUUCAGAUUCAGAGUCCCAUGUCUUGAGGGCCCAGGGUCAUGGCAAGGGCCUUGGAGUUGUCAGAUCUGCAUUCCAGGCUUGGUGUGUCUCUUCUUGGCAGGAUGAUCUUGAGUGAGUCACUGAACAUCAGCAUCUAUUUCCUUGUGUGUGAAAUUAGAGUAGCUGGCUAUGCUACCUGGAUAUUGGGAUUGGUGAAAAGAAGGCUUGGUUUACUAAGAUUCUGGGUUAGGGGUCUGAUCUCUAGACCAGAGCCUUCACAGAGCUGCAGCUCCCGUGUCAGUUGAUGCUACAAGCACAGAAAUACUCCUUUACUGUCUAUAUUUUUCAUCCUCCUACUCCUUGUGUGCCACCUGGUACCUCAUAGAGUUCCUGCCCCAAUAGGGCCCCAUCUACUGCCAUUUUAAUAAAAUGAUAUAUAUUCAUUUUUAAACAUUCAAAUCAAAUUUUAAAAACUAAAUGGAGUAAAAAUCAACAGAAAUCCCUCUAUACUGAGGUAAGCCUUGAAUAUUUGGGGAUAGUGCUGAUGUAGUCUGUUCAGUAACCUGAGUUUUAAAAUAAUUUUAAUUAUAUAAGUAGUAUGUGAUUAUUAUAGAAAUAUUAGUAAAUGCAGAUCAGCUAAAAGGAAAAGUCUGACUACUUGGAGCUAACUACUAAACAUUUUGGUGUAAUCAGUGUUGGGUUUAACUUCAUUGCCCUUGCCUGAAUGCCCCUGGGCGGACCUGCCUUGUGCUGUCUCCCUUCCCCUUCAUGCAGAGUGCCACACUCUUGUCCAAGCUGGCCCAGGUCCUCACUCUUAUAAGUCCCAGCCUUCCCUGACCUGUGUGCCUCUAAGCCCUCUCCCCAGGUCCCACCUCUCCUAAUGCCUGUUAGGUGUUGUCUGGGUUUCCAAAAGUUAUUCCCACUACUGCAGCCAGACUAAGUACUUUGGAAGCCAGGUUUGGGUGCUUAUUUAUCCUUUGGCUGGGCAGAGUAGAUUUUGCACAGAGUUGCCUCUUUUAAGGAAUGUAGAACUGGAUUUAUUAUUUCAGCUAAGUCAGGAUUGGAAGUUUUUGAAGGGGUCUGUGAGUGAAAUGUUGACUAGAGACCGCCCACAAGUGCGCCUGCUAAUUGGGAGCCCAGCCAUGGGUGGUUCCGAGUCAUAGGGCGCUCAGACAGUUUUUGACUGCCCCAGCUAUCAGUGCUCACCUCACACCCCAUCCUGGCCUGGAGAACAUACCCCAUAUUCCAGCCCUGCCCCGCCUUCUCGCCGCUUCCUAGGAAGAACUGAAGUUAGGGCUAGCGGGAGCCAGUUGGGCUGGGACUCCAUGGAGAGGAGUGGGUAUCAGGAGGUCUUUCAGGCAGGUGUUUAGUCUCACCCUUGCUGACAGAGAUUGUCAGCCCAGACAGAGGCAUGUGCAGAGAAGAAAGCUCAGGAAAUGUAAAUUGAUAUGGACCGUCUUGCACUCACAAAGUUGGCAAAUUUUUAAAAGCCAUUGUGUGGUAAGUGUAUGGCACAUGGGAACUCACGGCCAUGGGAGUGGAAAUUGUGACAACUACCGUGCCAAGCAAUUUGCAACAUCUUGUAAAAUUGUGUAUACUCUACCACUUAGAAUUCUACUCUUGGAUAAACCCUAGAAUAACUCCAUGUGAAGAAGGAAAUGUGUAUAUGACUGUUCAUUGCAGCACUGUGUAGAUAGUAAGACUGGGAGAAGCCUAAUUUUCCAUCAACAGAAGAACGGGUAAAUAAAUGGGUUGUUUGGUACUUUGGGAAGUGAACAUGAAAGAGCUAGAGUUACAUCUGUCAACACAGAUGAAUCAGAAAUGAUGCUGAGAAAGUUGCGGAAGCUACAAAUACCAUUUAUGUAAAGUUAAACAUACUGUGUAUCUGUGGGCACAUUAUUUAAACUUACUUGUGUUUCACUUUUUCUGUAAAAUGAGAUAGUAGUGCCAACCUCACAGGGUGAUGGGGGGAGGGGGACAGUUAAUGAAUUAUUGCAUGUAAAGUGCUUAGAAUAGUGGCUGGCAUGUAAGCCUUGUUGGCAUAUAGUAAACAGUGUUACUGUUUUAUACAAUAAUAUAUUUCCUGUGGAUUCAAAUUAUAUGAAGUGAAGAGUGUAAAAUCAUGUGUUAGAAUGAGGUGUGAAAGCCAUGCUCUGCCUUCCCAGAGCAGGAGUUGCUGAUAAAAUCACGGAGGGUACAUGGAGGCUUCCAUUGUGUUUUAUUUCUUUUAAGAAGUUGAUGUAGAUGGGUCAGCAUGUUGAUUUAAUGGGAUAAAUGGUGGGUUCUUUUUUAACUGUUUGUUUAAAAUAUCUCAAAAUAAAAAUAUUUUUGAGCAUGGGCUCUGCCAUUUUACGAUUUUAUAGAAAUCCUGGCUCUGCCAUUUAUGUGAUGUUUCUUAGAGCGAGCCACUACAUCUCUCAAGGCUUCAGGUUCCUCACCUGCAAAAAUCAGGAGCAACACAGAUGGCUCUUAGUAAAGGAGUGGUUAAACAGGUCUGAUACAUCUAUGAUAGAGAACUGGGCAGCAGUUAAAAAGAAUGGGAAUGUUCUCCAUGUAUUGACACAUGAUCCCCAAGGCCUGCAGUUUAUAGGAAAUUAUAAGCUCCAUUUCCUUUCAUUCGUCCUUGUCUAAAAAUAACAAGUGAUGCCAGAAGCUGUAGCCUUAUAAGUUUAAUGAAGAAGUGGGAGCCUGUGAAUGGAAGAUGCCUAGUCAUCCA